rnacentral:rRNA from 1 species
CCUACGGGUGGCAGCAGUGGGGAAUAUUGGACAAUGGGGGGAACCCUGAUCCAGCCAUGCCGCGUGUGUGAAGAAGGCCCUCGGGUUGUAAAGCACUUUCAGUGAGGAAGAACGCCUGGUGGUUAAUACCCAUCAGGAAAGACAUCACUCACAGAAGAAGCACCGGCUAACUCCGUGCCAGCAGCCGCGGUAAUACGGAGGGUGCGAGCGUUAAUCGGAAUUACUGGGCGUAAAGCGCGCGUAGGUGGCUUGAUAAGCCGGUUGUGAAAGCCCCGGGCUCAACCUGGGAACGGCAUCCGGGACUGUCAAGAUAGGGGGCAGGGGAGGAAGGUAGAGUCCCCGGGGAGGCGGUGAAUGGCGUAAAGAUCGGGAGGAAUACCAGUGGCGAAGGCGGCCUUCUGGACUAACACUGACACUGAGGUGCGAAAGCGUGGGUAGCAAACAGGAUAAGAUACCCCAGUAGUC